rnacentral:tRNA from 1 species
CGGAGCGUAGCUCAGUUGGUUUAGAGCACCGCCUUGACAGGGCGGGGGUCGCUGGUUCGAAUCCAGCCGUUUCGA